AACGCACAUUGCGCCCUUUGGUAUUCCGAAGGGCAUGCCUGUUCGAGCGUCAUUAUACAACCUCAAGCCUGGCUUGCUGUUGGACCUCACGUCCUCACCGACGGGUCUCAAAACCAAUGACGGAGUCAAGUUGGACCCAAGAUGCAACGAGCUUUCACAGCACGCAUUGACGGGCCGGCCACUCCUGUCUCAACCCCAAAUUUAUCAAGGUUGACCUCGGAUCAGGUAGGAAUACCCGCUGAACUUAA
rnacentral:misc_RNA from 1 species